GAGCUUCUGAGAAAGCGCUAGACACGCAUGAAGCUCUGCAGCAGCCACUUGGCCCCAACUCAAGCACAGAGCCACCCGCUGCACGCCCGAGAGCCUGCCCUGGUUAUUUAUGCAGCCGUGGGUCAGCUGGCUGUGGCUUUCUCCGUCCCACCCUGGCGCGCCUCCAACUCGCAGCAGUAGCUGCGGAAUCUGGUGCUUGGGUGUGUUGUUUGGGGUCCUCUGCCUGGGAGCCGCAGCUGCCACCUUCUGGGAUGCUGCCCCCCUUGUCCUUGGUCGCGUUCUUUGCGGUGUUGGUCCACAGGUAGAAGCCAAGCAGCGAUAUUAGUUAAUGGAGAUGUGGACUUGACAGAGUGUAUAGAGGCUUGGCAUCAGAGAGAUGGAGAGUGAAUCCUAGGGCGGAGUUGGCUGUUGAACUUUCUUCUCUGAUCCUCCAACUAUGAACCCUCAUAUCUCAAUUCAAAUGUGACUUUCUCAUGGACCUGUUUCCUAAUUGAACUGUAUCUGUGCUGAGGGUUUUUACAACAUCUGAGUAUUCUUCAAAAGUUCUGAAUUUUGCCUGCUUUCUUGUCCUAGGAAACUGUAAACUCACUGUGGGAGUUAUGUUCUUGGUAAGUUUGAACACAACACUCAACAUAGUAUUUUCUAAAUGGUAGGAAUUAAAUAAAUAUUUAUUUAAAAUGAUAAGUCUAAAAGAAAACAGUAGGGGAACAAAUAAGAUCAAGACAGACUGCAGUUCCACAAAAUAAAGUUGAGUCAAAGUUAAUAAUGGUGUGAAACUUAAAAAAUAAAAACUGAAGUUUAGAUGGGGAAGCAUAGUAUUAACAUAAGCUUGAAAUAUCAAAAGUAUAUGAGAUUUAAAAUGUAAUAGUAUUGGUAAUUACAAUAGAAAAUUAAUGUAGAUGAUUAGUGAUUAGAGAAGAAGUAAGGAAGUUUAAAGAUGGAUUGUUUUCCCCAGAGAAUCAUCUUCUCCUUAACUAGGGGCCUGUGGUCUCCCAUUCCUCAGGGGCACUCAUACCUUUCCUUGUUCUGAAUCUUAUGUUGCACUCUAAGGGAUUCCCUUUGGAGAUUGUUUGCAAAAUGGGCAGUCUUUUUUUUUUUUUAAGUUUUACAACAUUAUUUUCUCCACAUAACUAGAUCUCCACUGCAGUAGCUAAAGAGUCUUGAGUUCAAAGACCUUGUCCUUUAAGCCUCCCAGGUGAAAAUAAUAAUAAGGGCUCAAGGCAGAUAUUUUUACUUUGGUUUAACAAAAGUAGACUUGACUUUGGGUGAAUUACGCAAUGUUCCCAUGUCUGUUAGUAUAGAAUAAUAUUAUGAAUUAUUUAUGAAGGCUUAUGAAAAGUGUAUAUUAAUUUAUUUAAUGUAUAUAGUCACCUGGUGGGACAAGUACUUUCAUUGUUACAUUUGGAAGUAAUAUUAAACAUAAUAAUAUUAAAUUUCUAUGUUAGAGUUAGGCAGUAUGUGUUUAUUAAUCAAACUGAGAUUCAAAUCUGGAUUUUUUGAUUCUCAGUAUCAUA